rnacentral:misc_RNA from 1 species
GAUGAAGAACGCAGCGAAAUGCGAUACGUAAUGUGAAUUGCAGAAUUCAGUGAAUCAUCGAGUCUUUGAACGCACAUUGCGCCCGCUAGUAUUCUGGCGGGCAUGCCUGUCCGAGCGUCAUUUCAACCCUCAAGCCCCCGGGCUUGGUGUUGGGGAUCGGCGAGCCUCCGCGCCCGCCGUCCCCUAAAUCUAGUGGCGGUCUCGCUGUAGCUUCCUCUGCGUAGUAGCACACCUCGCACUGGGAAACAGCGCGGCCACGCCGUUAAACCCCCAACUUCUGAACGUUUGACCUCGGAUCAGGUAGGAAUACCCGCUGAACUUAAGCAUAUCAAUAAGCGGAGGA